rnacentral:rRNA from 1 species
AUUGAACGCUGGCGGCAUGCCUUACACAUGCAAGUCGAACGGUAACGGGCCUUCGGGUGCCGACGAGUGGCGAACGGGUGAGUAAUGCAUCGGAACGUACCAUUGAGUGGGGGAUAACGUAGCGAAAGUGACGCUAAUACCGCAUAUUCUGUGAGCAGGAAAGCAGGGGAUCGCAAGACCUUGCGCUCUUUGAGCGGCCGAUGUCGGAUUAGCUAGUUGGUGGGGUAAAGGCCCACCAAGGCUACGAUCCGUAGCGGGUCUGAGAGGAUGAUCCGCCACACUGGGACUGAGACACGGCCCAGACUCCUACGGGAGGCAGCAGUGGGGAAUUUUGGACAAUGGGGGCAACCCUGUUCCAGCCAUGCCGCGUGAGUGAAGAAGGCCUUCGGGUUGUAAAGCUCUUUCGGCCGGGAAGAAAUCGUGUGGGCUAAUACCCUGCAUGGAUGACGGUACCGGAAUAAGAAGCACCGGCUAACUACGUGCCAGCCGCCGCAGUAACAC